UUGCUGAUGCGCCAUGUUGCUGCUGGAUGUCGCUGCACCUGUCACACUGUGACAGCCUCAGGCAGCGGCACCGGCAGUAUGAUCAGAUCUCCUCCUGUCCUGUGUGUCACGCCCCCCUCCUCUCUCCUCUUUGCUCCUGGCCGCUGCCCAUGUCAGGUGGAAGACAGAAGCACAGUGGUGCCUCUCCCCAACUCGUCUCUUCCCUCCCCUCUGUCACUGAAUACACAGCAGUCUUAAGCGUCAGAUAGGGGACACAGGAAGUCACAUGAUAUACACACGUGACUGUGCACUGUCUGACUCUGGACUCUGGAGGAGCAAGCUGUCGUGUGAAGAGGAACAGCCAGCCAGUGUAGCAGCCUGCAGCCCUAGUAGCCAGCCACAGAGGAGCUGACUGAGGUUACCAUCCAGACGUCCGAGCGCACGGGACGUGCACGUCGCAGGCUUGUGACGUCAGAGGACCCGGACGGCGGCUCCGGUUAUGGUGAGUUGCAGCGUAUAUGGUUACUAUGGUGAUGGGGGAGCACAUGGAUGACGUCACUAUUGACGAAAGCGCCGCUGGGCGGGUGUUUGUCCCGUUUCCGGAGUGACGGCGCCACAUACCUGGUGAGGUCUCUAUUUAUGACUGAGAACCUCAUUUGAACAGAACAUCUUCAUGCCCUGUGAAAUAAAAGGCUCUAAUUCUCUACAGUCAUGAUGUCAUCAGCUCCUGUGCACCAGUAUCCUCUAAUUCAGUUCUGUACAGAGAUAUACCAAAUAACCAGACUAGUAUGCUUGUGCGGCUGGAAACUUGAAUGGAACAGUUAGUCCUCCCAUUUUCCAUUUGUUCCUGUCAUACUGUAACUUGCACAAACACAUAUCUCUCUGGGCCUAACUAUUCCACCUGCCAUGGUAUAUGCCAACAAUUUUGGACUAAUGUUACAAUGUUCUGUAACAAAUCCAGGUACCCCUCAGACCGUAUAGAGUGGGCGACCAUGGAUAUCAGGCAGGGCCGGAUUUAGGGGGGGGCGAAGGGGGCGACUGCCCCCCCUAACACAGUCAUAGCCACGCCCACUUUUGAGCAGAAGAGAGCUCUCCAGGGAGUGCCUGAGCAGAACGAUGUGCUGCAUCUUAUACCACAGCAGCAUAGAGGAUCCAGGAGAGCGAGGGUUACAGAGCAUUUGCCCCUCACUUGCUGGUGUGUGGGUACUAGGGCUAAUAAACACAAUUACCCCAUAGCACAGUCACAUGUACAUAGAACAAUCACAAAGCACUAUCUCAGUCUCACUCAAAAAGUUCAGUCAGAAUUGAGAGGAGGAGUUAGGAUUGCAGAUGGGAGGAGUUGGGAUUGUAGAGGGAGGAGUCAAGAUUAAACAGUAAACCGCCCCCCCUAAAGAAAAGUCUAGAUCCGUCCCUGAUAUCAGGGAGAAUAACCUAGAAUCAGCAGUUACUUGAUUUACUCCUGUCUGUGUUAACCAAUAAAACUGUAGAUCUGCAAUCUAAGAAA